rnacentral:tRNA from 1 species
CGGGGUGUAGCCCAGCAUGGAAGGGCGCGUGUUUUGGGAGCACGAGGUCGGAGGUUCAAAUCCUUCCGCCCCGA